rnacentral:rRNA from 1 species
CAAGUCGAACGGGAUCCAUCAGGCUUUGCUUGGUGGUGAGAGUGGCGAACGGGUGAGUAAUGCGUGACCGACCUGCCCCAUACACCGGAAUAGCUCCUGGAAACGGGUGGUAAUGCCGGAUGCUCCGACUCCUCGCAUGGGGUGUCGGGAAAGAUUUCAUCGGUAUGGGAUGGGGUCGCGUCCUAUCAGGUAGUCGGCGGGGUAACGGCCCACCGAGCCUACGACGGGUAGCCGGCCUGAGAGGGCGACCGGCCACAUUGGGACUGAGAUACGGCCCAGACUCC